rnacentral:rRNA from 1 species
AACGAACGCUGGCGGUAUGCUUAACACAUGCAAGUCGAACGGACUAAUCAGGGCUUGCUCCGGUUAGUUAGUGGCAGACGGGUGAGUAACACGUGGGAAUCUGCCCAUUAGUACUGAAUUACUUUUAGAAAUAAAAGCUAAUACCGUAUAUUCACUACAGGCGACAGAUUUAUCGCUGAUGGAUGGGCCCGCGUCAGAUUAGGUAGUUGGUGAGGUAACGGCUCACCAAGCCGACGAUCUGUAGCUGGUCUGAGAGGAUGACCAGCCACACUGGGACUGAGACACGGCCCAGACUCCUACGGGAGGCAGCAGUGGGGAAUAUUGUACAAUGGGCGAAAGCCUGAUCCAGCCAUGCCGGGUGAGUGAUCAAGGCCCUAGGAUUGUAAAGCUCUUUUAGCAAGGACGAUAAUGACGUUACUUGCAGAAGAAGCCCCGGCUAACUCCGUG